UCUCUCUGUAGGAGCUGCUUUCUACCAGCAGAUAGACUUUAUUCUCCCUGUAGGAGAUGAUUUCUACCAGCAGAUAGACUUUAUUCUCCCUGUAGGAGAUGCUUUCUACCAGUAGAUGGCAACAUUUCCACAGUUUUCCCAUGAACAAA